UACAGAGGUGGCAAGCGUUGUUCGGAAUUACUGGGCGUAAAGGGCGCGUAGGCGGCCAUCUAAGUCAGACGUGAAAUCCCCCGGCUUAACCUGGGAACUGCGUCUGAUACUGGACGGCUUGAGUAUGGGAGAGGGAUGUAGAAUUCCAGGUGUAGCGGUGAAAUGCGUAGAUAUCUGGAGGAACACCAAUGGCGAAGGCAGCUCUCUGGUACAUGAUUGACGCUGAGACGCGAAAGCGUGGGGAGCGAACAGG
rnacentral:rRNA from 1 species